CCAGGCCAAUGAGAGCUCUCUUCACUUCUCACCAUAGCAGCUUCAAUAUGUAUUUUCCCCAAGCUCAUCUUUCCAAGAACACAUGGUAGAAACAGCAGAGGAGACAACAACAUGAAGUUUACCGUUUGUCCCAGGAUGCAUGGAGAGACCUAUCAGGCUCAAGCAGAAUUCAAGAAAUAGAGACUGAUUGACACUUUUUGCCAAAGCACUGCAAGAGUAAAAUAAAGAGGAAAAAAUCUCUGCAAAGACAUCAAACAACUGUUCAGAGGUGGUAGGAAUUAAUUCAGUGAUACAAAUAUGCUCC